UACAGAGGGUGCAAGCGUUGUUCGGAAUUAUUGGGCGUAAAGCGCGUGUAGGCGGCUUGGCAAGUCGGGUGUGAAAGCCCUCAGCUCAACUGAGGAAGUGCGCCCGAAACUGCUUUGCUUGAGUGCUGGAGAGGGUCGCGGAAUUCCCCAAGUAGAGGUGAAAUUCGUAGAUAUGGGGAGGAACACCGGUGGCGAAGGCGGCGACCUGGACAGUAACUGACGCUGAGGAGCGAAAGCGUGGGGAGCGAACAGG
rnacentral:rRNA from 1 species